rnacentral:tRNA from 1 species
UCCCUGGUGGCUCAGAUGGUAAAGCGUCUGCCUGCAGUGCAGGACACCAGGGUUCGAUCCCUGGGUUGGGAA